rnacentral:lncRNA from 1 species
UGCUGGCAGCGUGCCCUGCAGUAGGGCACCUUCUGGUUUUAGUGACCACCAGCGGACAUGUUCUGGGUGGUCUCAUGAAGAGCCACAAAGACACACUGGGACUGGAACAGAGUUUCUAGGCAGAAGGAAAAGAGCCUGCCAGGAACAGGUCAUGGUCCUUAUGAACCAACCAGUGUCACGGGGAAGGAUUUUUUUUUCCUUUUUCUUUUUUGAUACUAGAGAUUGAACCCAGGGCACUUAGCCACUGAGCUACAUCCCCAGCCCUUUUUAUUUAUUUGUUUUUUUAAGACACCCUCGAUAAGUUGCCCAGGGUGGCCUUGAACUUGCAAUCCUCCUGCCUCAGCCUCCUGAGUCACUGGAAUUACAGACAUGCACCACAGCGCCCAGCUAAGGGGAAGGAUUUCUGAAAUGAGAGGCAGUGGCAGAGGGAACAGAUGCCGAGGAGGUGGGGGAGAGCCCUUUAGAAGCAAAUCUCAGCAGGUCCCAAGCAGGGAGCCUGGGGUGGAAGACCAAGAGACCUGGCAUCCAGUCGAGGCCGGCACAACCUGGCCAUGCAACCUUGGAGCCUCAGUGGUCUCACCCCAAAAAUGGAACCGCUGAAGACAGGCUUCCCAGUCCAUCCCAGGAGCCCGGGGUUCUGCAUUGUGUUUUAAAAUUCCCUGGGAAACAGGAAGAGCUUAGCAAGAAAACAGGAUCAUCCUCAGCUCAGGUG